GUGCUCGCUUCGGCAGCACAUAUACUAAAACUGGAACAAUACAGAGAAGAUUAGCAUGGCUCCUGCGCAAGGAUGACACUCAAAUUUGUGAAGCGUUUUGGUACUCA